UACAGAGGGGGCAAGCGUUGUUCGGAAUUACUGGGCGUAAAGGGCGCGUAGGCGGCCUUCUAAGUCGAACGUGAAAUCCCCGGGCUCAACCCGGGAACUGCGUCCGAUACUGGAAGGCUUGAAUCCGGGAGAGGGAUGCGGAAUUCCAGGUGUAGCGGUGAAAUGCGUAGAUAUCUGGAGGAACACCGGUGGCGAAGGCGGCAUCCUGGACCGGCAUUGACGCGUGAGGCGCGAAAGCCAGGGGAGCAAACGGG
rnacentral:rRNA from 1 species